rnacentral:rRNA from 1 species
AUUGAACGCUGGCGGCAGGCCUAACACAUGCAAGUCGAACGAGUGGCGGACGGGUGAGUAAUGCUUGGAAACCUAGCAUAAGGCGGGGGAUAACUACGGGAACCUGUAGCAAAUCCCGAGUACCAUAGGAUGAGCCCAAGUGGGAUUAGGUAGUUGGUGAGGUAUAGGCUUACCAAGCCGACGGGCUCCAGCUGAUCUGAGAGGAUGACCAGCCACACUGGAACUGAGACACGGCCCAGACUCCUACGGGAGGCAGCAGUAGGGAAUAUUGCGCAAUGGGGGAAAGCUGACGCAGCCAUGCCGCGUGAAUGAAGAAGGCCUUCGGGUUGUAAAGUUCUUUCAUUAGCGAAGCGGUAACUACAGAAGAAGCAACGGCUAACUCCGUGCCAGCAGCCGCGGUAAUUC